GACGAACGCUGGCGGCGUGCCUAAUACAUGCAAGUAGAACGCUGAAGGAGGAGCUUGCUUCUCCGGAUGAGUUGCGAACGGGUGAGUAACGCGUAGGUAACCUGCCUGGUAGCGGGGGAUAACUAUUGGAAACGAUAGCUAAUACCGCAUAAGAGUAGAUGUCGCAUGACAUUUGCUUAAAAGGUGCAACUGCACCACUACCAGAUGGACCUGCGUUGUAUUAGCUAGUUGGUGAGGUAACGGCUCACCAAGGCAACGAUACAUAGCCGACCUGAGAGGGUGAUCGGCCACACUGGGACUGAGACACGGCCCAGACUCCUACGGGAGGCAGCAGUAGGGAAUCUUCGGCAAUGGACGGAAGUCUGACCGAGCAACGCCGCGUGAGUGAAGAAGGUUUUCGGACCGUAAAGCUCUGUUGUAAGAGAAGAACGAGUGUGAGAGUGGAAAGUUCACACUGUGACGGUAUCUUACCAGAAAGGGACGGCUAACUACGUG
rnacentral:rRNA from 1 species